UCUCCCGCCCCGAGCGCUCCAAACUCGCCCCGCCCCGCCCCGCCCCUCCCUCGCCCACCCGCCCGGCCUCUCUCGGCGGGGAGGCCCCGCCCCUGGCCCGGGACUGGGCGCCUUCCGACCCGCGAGCCGAGCCCGCACCUGCGCCCGCCCCGGAGGCGGCGAUCGGCGUUCGCAGCCUUCCUCUGACCACAGUGUCUGUGGAGGUAUCGUAGGUGUCCUGCCUCCCUUCGUCCAGCCGGCUCUGCGAGACCCCGGGGCGGUUAAAGCCCGAGAGCUGCGGCGCGGGAACGAGAAAGCGAGAGGUCGGGAGUGGAAUAGUGAGUCCACAGGGAUGAGCCCCUGAGUGUCCGCCCAGCUGAGAGGAGGAAGAUUGGUUUCCCUUGAGAUUCCUGUGCUUUCCAUGAGCUCUGGCAGUGACAGCGGGACUGAGGGGAUGAGGAGGGAAGAAAGCUGACAUGCAGAGGACCACAUAAUUUGCCAGGGCCCAUCAGCUGAACAGUGGCAACACUGGGAUCAGAAGCAACAACCAAAAAAAAAAAAAAGAAGAAGCAACAACCGCACUGCUCCACUGGUGGACAAUCCCAGUCUGCUGUGCGGCCCUCUCCGAGUCCUGGCAGUCCAGCCCUAUUUUUCUUUCUUCUCAAAGUGGGAGGAAACCACAUGAACAAACAUGGAAGGAAAACUCUUGCUAGCCUCCAUCAGCAUCCAACAAAACAGAAGGGGCCAGGCCUCUCUUUACUAAGACCCGGUGGGGAGGAGGGUGUUGAUAAGCAGAUAGGUACAAAGUGGUCUGCACUGGAGAAAUACAAAAAUGGCAUAAGGAUGUGAGUGUGGUUUAGUUACAGUGGGAGAUGGCGCACGCCUGGGAUUCGAGAAGUUCCUGGUUCCCAUGAUUCAGGCUAGACGCGACUGUUCUUCCUCUGUAAGGCCUGGAUGGGGACACCCACCUCACAGGAUUGAGCAUAUAGAAGGCUUUCUUGUUCCCACUUGAUCUUCCUCUCUUUACUUAAUGUAUCCUUAAGACACAGACAGGCUGAAGAAGUAAUGAUCAGAAGCAAAGGCAGCAGUGUGACAAGAUUGGCAGUUAUGUGGCAUGGGACGGCAAUUGAAGGGUUAAUUUAGUCUUUCUGCGAAAUAAACCAUGUUCCCAAGUGUUUUGCUGUGCUCACACAAAAUAAAUGCGUAUACUGUAGUUGCUGACAUGUCAUGUGCAUCUUUUUAUGCCAGCGACAUGGCCUUAAAGAUGGCUUCAUCUUGCCUAAUGAAAAGAAUCAAAAAAUACUUCAAAAGACCCACUUAGAUCCACAUAAAAUACCCAUUCUCUUAUGCAGUGCUCCACCAGUGACUGUUAAGUAUGUUAUCUCCUCAGUAAAGCUGCGGUAAGCUUAUGCAUUUUAAUAAACAAUUCUUGCUCGAACUCCCAAACUGCAUCCUGCAAUGCAACGUCAUUUGUGUAUAC